AGUCUGCUGGUCAUGCUGUGAGGAGGAAGGGAUGGGAAGCAGAGAGCUGGAAAUGCCGAGAGAAGGAGGACAGAAAGAGCCAGAGCUGUGUGGGGUCACUCAUAGGACUGCAACAUAGCAAAGGAGGCAAGGAGCAAACUUUCUAUAAAACAGAACUUCCUCCUGCAUUUCCCACUGUAUUUCCAGAUCCCAGUGUAUAAACCAGCUACAAUCAACACUCCACUAACUUCCAUCUAUUCACAGCCUUAAACGAGAAGAAAAGUUACUGAACAAGAACUUCACACAUUUCCCAAGAAUAAUAUAAUUCAUUAUAAUGUCUAGUGUGUCAUUUGUAAUUGAGUGGAGCAUUGUUAAAUUACCAGUUUAAAAAUAACUGAGAA